GCGGUACUUCUUGUGACUUGAGAGCCGCGCUUCUUAAAGAAAGGCUGAAAGACCUCUCGUAGCCUGCGGCGUUCCUAACUGGUUUGUACUUCCUUGGUUUUGAGAGCUAAAAACUUAAGAUCCACCCUUGAUCUUCAAGACAGGGAAUUGAAAGGUAGAGAAAUGGAAAUGCACACGGAGUAACCUGGGGAAGGCUGAGUGGUUCGAAUGAUGGAUCUGUAGCCUGAUUAAGAAACUGAGCAAAGGAUGGAUUAAGCAGCUUCUCAAAGUUAGGUAACCACUGAGCCUGUGUUCUCCACUCUAGACAGUGUUUUUUGUGGUAAGUCAUGCUAACGGAAAUAUUUAUUAUUAACUGCACUAAAGAUCUAAGGAUACAACAUGGUAUGGACUCAGAUAGUAAAUGUAAUGAUUAUAUAAGGAAGAUUACAUAAUAAAGAACUAAUACCAUCUGUACCUCCUCCGAUCCUACAAAUGGUCUAUUUUCCCAUGAUUUAUGUAACAGGUUAUGUUGCAACAUCCAGGUCUUACCUUGAG
ensembl:lncRNA